rnacentral:rRNA from 1 species
ACGGGUGAGUAACGCGUAUGCAACUUGCCUAUCAGAGGGGGAUAACCCGGCGAAAGUCGGACUAAUACCGCAUGAAGCAGGGAUCCCGCAUGGGAAUAUUUGCUAAAGAUUCAUCGCUGAUAGAUAGGCAUGCGUUCCAUUAGGCAGUUGGCGGGGUAACGGCCCACCAAACCGACGAUGGAUAGGGGUUCUGAGAGGAAGGUCCCCCACAUUGGAACUGAGACACGGUCCAA